AGAGUAAAACUGAUUUUCCAAGCAAGCUGUUUGAAAGAGAAAGAAAUACUUCAUUUGUGAAUGGAUUUCUAUUUAUGAUUUCAAACAUGACUGAGGAAAAUAUAUAUUAUACCUUAGGAAAUGAAUUUACCACUUGGUCAACUUGCAUUUUGGAAAGAUGUGCAGGCUUUAUCGUAUAUCCCUUAACGUUGAUAGUGAUUUUGAUAAUUUUAUAUUAUCCCCUUGUGUUUGCAUUGUUUGAAAUGUAUGUCCUCAGUGCAAUACUUUUUGUAUGGAAAAAAAUUGGCAAUCUGCCAGAAGAUAUCGAUAGC